UCCGAGUUUAAUUAGCUACGGGCAUAAAAAUAUAGAAUGUAAAAUAAGUUCCAAACGCAUGAGUCUGUUGGUUGCAAACACUAAAUGCUCGUUAUACAGGUUCCACAUGUGUGUUUUGCAAGAGCAGAUGAACAAAGUUUCUGUACAUUGAAAUAACUGUUAUAUUUCUGGUAUGGUGUAACAGUCCUACAUUAACAUUUUGUAACGAAGAGCUCAGUUGGUCCGGAAAUGCUAACAAUAUUUUACUGAAUAAGAAUAAAUAAUCAAGUUGCAGCAGUAAGUAGAAAUUUUCAGGUUCAUACCUUCUCUACCCAUGCUUCCUUGAAUUCAACAAUGUAUGGAUGUUUAAGUGCAAUUAGUACAUCUGCAAAACAAAAUUUCCGAAGCACAUUUAACUUUCUAAUUAGCCAAUAAUAGUAUACAUUGGAACAUACGUAUGCAUUAUAGAGAGAUCACAUUCUUGAAAGGUAGUCGAAGCACAUUUAACUUUAUAAUCAGACAAUAAUAGUAGACAUUGGAACAUACAUAUGCAUUAUAAAGAGAUCACAUUCUUGAAAGGUUGUACCUUAGUCAUAGCUUUAUGAAAUAUCAAGAACCGACAAUUAUUUCUCUUGCAACUUCUUUCACUUUUGCGUGAUGCAGAGGAAUCGAGAACUAAUCUUAAUAGGCAUAUAACCUUUACAGGUUGUAACUUUAAGGUUCUUGAUAAGGAAAUUUACAAAAUCGAGGAUCGCGUUCAUCGAUACCAAAACAUGACCUACUCGAUGGUUCAGACCGAGUUUGCCGACGUUAAACUUCCAGAAAAAGAUAGACUUAAUAGGACAAUUGCAAUAUAAUUUGAUUUGCAAUUAUAAAUCGAGUCCAUCUCUCNCGUUAAACUUCCAGAAAAAGAUAGACUUAAUAGGACAAUUGCAAUAUAAUUUGAUUUGCAAUUAUAAAUCGAGUCCAUCUCUCUUAACAAAUUUUGUAAUCUAGUGGAAUUGUCUAUUCUGAUAGCUGUAGGGAUGUAAACGAGCCAGCUCGCUAGCCUAAAGUUUCAGCUCAAGCUCGGUCCGGUUAAAAUGGCCAAGCUUUUUCGCCGGCUCGAGCCUUUUGCUCGACCAAAAAAAAUAGGCCCAGCUUUCCGGGCCGAGCCGAGCAGGCUCAUUUUCUCUCCCUUUUUUUUUCUUCCCUAAAACUGCUGCCUUAAAAGGCAGCAGAGCUGUUGCCUUUAAAAGGCAGCCUCAAAAUUAAUUUUUUUUUAUUUUAUAAACUCACGAGCUCACGGGUCGGCUCGAGCAAAGCCUGUGUCCCCAAAAUGGGGCUCAACCCAAGUCUAGGCUCGGGUCUACCGAGUCAUGGGCAACCCUAACCGGCUAGCCAGAUUGCCAUCCCUAAAUAGCUGACAUGAGAACUCCACCAAAAACCAAUCGUUUGAAAAAAAGCUUCAUCAAAUUCACAAUUAUCUGAAAAGAAUCCCACUCUUAAACCAAAAGUAGAGUAAAAGAGAGACGAAAAGAAACAAGAAUAUUUUGAUUCCUUUUUGCAUGAAUACGAUUAAAAAUAAUUAUAUAAAAAGUAUUGGACUUUUUCCUUCAAUUUCAAGGUUUGAUUAACAAUCGAUGUAUUCAUCAUUACUUAGUCGUUUCUAGAUCUAUGUUUGGUGCAUUAGCAAUUUCUAUUGAUCUAUUUACAGCGAAAAGUGCACAGUCCAAAUUUAACUACUUUAUCUCUCACAUAAUUAUUCACUGAUUCAAUAAUUUUAUUCACAUUCAUCAUCUUUAUAGUUAUAGGGGCUUAAAUACCAAAUUAAAGGAUGUCAAACUGGAUAAUGUUUUAACCCCUUUUUGCACCCAAUAUUUUCGAACUCUUUUUUUUUAAUAUUUAUUUUUAAUUACAUAUUGAUAAAAUAAAAUAUUUUGUACAUUAUUCUUAUCUAUUUUUUAACUAUACAUUUUCUUAAAAAUUAAUAUACAAAACUCUAUUUUCAUAAAUAAUGGUUGCUUAGUUGAUUAGUAUGGUAUAAAGCACUGUUAAACUUCAACUAUUUAUUGCAUUAUAUCUGACAUAACACCCUGAAACUUACUGUAGAUAAAAAAUGUUCUUUCAUGAAAAUUCCCUAUACUGGCCUUCUCUCGUUACUGCCUCAAAAGGUAAACUACACUUUACCUUUCUCCCUUCCAGAUUAUAAAGAGCACGGCAUCAAUCCCAGACACAUUGUCCAACGACUGAACGCUUUGCGAAUCAAAUUCGACUACUCGUUCGCUACUUGACACCAUGGAUCCAUAUUAUAAUCCGGUACGUUUGUGCAUAUUUCUCGACUGUUAAAUUUCAAGGUUGUUGCCCUUUUCUUAAAACUCAACUUCUAUUUUGUGCUUGGCUGUGGCACACCCUUUGUGAGAGGAUAGUUCGAAGAGUGAGACAUUGGUUGGAGAAAAAGAGAUAAGGUUGUGGGAAAAAAAACACGAAUGAAUUACAGAAUAUGCUAGAACUACAAAUAGUAGCAAUGUCUCUUGUAAAUAUGCUAGAACUACGGUAAAAACGACAACCAGAAUUGGAAUAUAGUCAAUGAUAAUAAAAAUCGUAAAAAAAUUGAGCAGGAUCUUUGGCUUUUGAAGUAGAUCGAAGCAAAUGAAGAGUAACCCAACAAAAUUUUCUCAUCUCAGACAGGGAAAAAGAAAAAAAUCUUAAAUAAAACUACAAAAAGUAACAAACAAAUCUAUAAAGAAGCAAGAAUCUAGCAGGAAAUGAAGUUUCUCUGCUAGAUCGAGCUACAAGAAGAACAAAUCAGCAAAAAAUAGGCCGAGAACUUACUGUGAAACAAGAGAGAGAGGGCCGAAGUUCAAGUCAAACAAAGAAGCAAAUGAGAGUGGAAGAGGCUGGAUGGUUUCUAGAAGCAGAUAUUCUACUCGGCGUCGUUUCCUGUGCGCUACGGAGGAAGCAAAUGGCGGUGUCGUCGUCUCAAUUUUUUCUGUGAUAGUGUGAGAGUAGAUGGAGGAAUGAGAAAGACGAAAGGAUAUGACGUCUGACAUAAAUAUGGCAUGUUAGAGAAGACAAGGGAUGUGAGUGGCAGAGCAUAAAAUGGUGCCAUUUUUGAAUCAAUUGUGAGGACGAAAUAAAAAAAAAUGAAAGGAAAAAUAAAAUAGGAUGAACGGCGCCAAAGUGAAGUGCCUCUUUUAUAUUAUAGGGAUAAACUCCCUUUACUAGAAAGAAUUUGACACCUUUAUUGACCAUCAUGUGAAUUAAAAAUACCAAAAAAUUCGUACCUCGCCCUAGUGUGAGAGGUGUGUCAGGGAGUCACCCUCCUUUAAAAAAUAAAUAAAUAAAUAAAUUGAACCUCAAUCUUGAGAGCUUCCACCGUCCCAUCCCUAGAGUUUUGUGAGGGAGGUAAAUCACGGGAUGUGUCCCAACAGGUCAGGAAACAAGAGCUGCAUGUACACUACGCCUACAAGGAGUUCAAUUCUGUAUCUCAGGAAUCGAACUCUCACACUGCGGCUGUCAGCAAGGCAUGAGAUAACCUCACUCCUGUCUUUUAUACCACUGGACUAUAUCCCGAGGGACGUCACCCUCCUUAGUAGCAUGGCAGGUUUGUUAAGUUAGACUACAAAACGACAAAUAACAAGUUAAUACUCAUUUUCAGGAAAUUUAGAAUAAUAUUAACAUUGUCAUUCAUUUGGUUCUAUAAACAUUUUUUAGGUUUCAUCACUAAUGUCAUUUUGACAACUAUACGUGGACAUAAUUGUUCUAUUAUUCUCUUUCGACGAGUAGCAACUUUUUUGUUAAAUCCCAGACACAUUGUCCAACGACUGAACGCUUGGCGAAUCAAAUUCGACUACUCGUUCGCUACUUGACACCAUGGAUCCAUAUUAUAAUCCGGUACGUUUGUGCAUAUUUCUCGACUGUUAAAUUUCAAGGUUGUUGCCCUUUUCUUAAAACUCAACUUCUAUUUUGUGCUUGGCUGUGGCACACCCUUUGUGAGAGGAUAGUUCGAAGAGUGAGACAUUGGUUGGAGAAAAAGAGAUAAGGUUGUGGGAAAAAAAACACGAAUGAAUUACAGAAUAUGCUAGAACUACAAAUAGUAGCAAUGUCUCUUGUAAAUAUGCUAGAACUACGGUAAAAACGACAACCAGAAUUGGAAUAUAGUCAAUGAUAAUAAAAAUCGUAAAAAAAUUGAGCAGGAUCUUUGGCUUUUGAAGUAGAUCGAAGCAAAUGAAGAGUAACCCAACAAAAUUUUCUCAUCUCAGACAGGGAAAAAGAAAAAAAUCUUAAAUAAAACUACAAAAAGUAACAAACAAAUCUAUAAAGAAGCAAGAAUCUAGCAGGAAAUGAAGUUUCUCUGCUAGAUCGAGCUACAAGAAGAACAAAUCAGCAAAAAAUAGGCCGAGAACUUACUGUGAAACAAGAGAGAGAGGGCCGAAGUUCAAGUCAAACAAAGAAGCAAAUGAGAGUGGAAGAGGCUGGAUGGUUUCUAGAAGCAGAUAUUCUACUCGGCGUCGUUUCCUGUGCGCUACGGAGGAAGCAAAUGGCGGUGUCGUCGUCUCAAUUUUUUCUGUGAUAGUGUGAGAGUAGAUGGAGGAAUGAGAAAGACGAAAGGAUAUGACGUCUGACAUAAAUAUGGCAUGUUAGAGAAGACAAGGGAUGUGAGUGGCAGAGCAUAAAACGGUGCCGUUUUUGAAUAAAUUGUGAGGACGAAAUAAAAAA
rnacentral:lncRNA from 1 species